GCCGCGCCCUGGUCAGCGACGAGGGCGGCCGCGGCCUGUUCAUCACCGCGCAGCUCACGGAGCGGUGGGGCGUGCGGCCCGCGCGGCGCGGCA
rnacentral:tRNA from 1 species